rnacentral:rRNA from 1 species
UUCGCAGGCGGCGUAUUGAGUCAGUGGUGAAAUCCCUCGGCUCAACCGAGGAACUGCCAUUGAUACUGGUAUGCUAGAGUAUAGUUGGCGUAGGCGGAAUGUAUCAUGUAGCGGUGAAAUGCUUAGAUAUGAUACAGAACACCGAUCGCGAAGGCAGCUUACGAAACUAUAACUGACGCUCAGGAACGAAAGCGUGGGGAGCGAACAGGAUUAGAUACCCUGGUAGUCC